AUCAAAUAUGUAUGUGUAUGUAUAGAGAAAACUAAAAUUAUAUAUACUGCUGUUAGCAGAGGAUAUGUUUGGUUGGUGGGAUGAUAGAGUGACUUUCUAUUUUCAACAUUUUGGUAUUAUACUGACUACUUUGCAAUAUUAACAAUUUUAACAACGUUUUAUUUAGGUUGAAAUUUGCUAAGACAGUAGAAAACAACUGCUCCUCCUCACACGUAAUUAUAUGUGGUGAUGGAUGUGUUAAUUAAUUUGAUUGUUGUAAUCAUUUGACAAUGUAUUCACACAUCAAAUCACAUUGUACAUUUAAAAUAUAUACAGUUUUUGUCAAAUACUUUAUAUUUAAGAAAAAUUCAUAAAAUAAGAUAGACUAUACUAUUGGAACUUAUUAUUUCUAAAAGUAUUUUUCUCUGUAUAUGAAGAAAUAAUUGAGUAAACUUUCAAUGCACCCAUGUCCUCAUCUACAAAACUUAGUUUUGCAAGGAAUUCUGUCUUACUUACUAUAUGUGAAUAACUUCUUCUUGGCACCAUGCCUCCUAUGAUUUGUGGCGUAGGACUUGUGUUACCAUAUAUAUUAUUUUUCAAAGAUUUCAAAAUAGUUUUUACAUGUAUGUAUUCUAUAUCCUCAAUGAUAUUGUAAAUUCCUUGGUUAUUGCAUUUUCUUUCUAUUGUACCAUCUUCUGUGAUGAAUAAACAUCAAGUGCUUUGCUGGUUGAUGGUAUAAUUCAGGGGCUGCCAAACUACAGCUCAUGGAUCAAAUUUGGUGAAUCAUUUGUUUUUGUAUAGCCCUCCAGCUAAGAAUCAUUUUUACAUUUUUAGAUGACUGAAAAAAAUAACAUCUUGUAACAUAAAAAUUAUAUGAAAUUCAAGUUUCAUUGCCCAUAUACAAAAUCUUAUUGGAGUGCAGGUACAUUUGUUUACAUAUUGUCUAUGGCUGCUUUCAUGCUCCAACAUCAGAGUUUUAACAAAGACUGUAUGUCCCGCAAAGCCAAAAAUAAUUACUUGUCAGUUUCUUACUAAAAAAGUUUGCCAGCCCGUCUUAACAUAAUAAGUGUAAGUAACAUCAGAAAGGUCCCAUUAAAAGUGACCGCUAUUGUAAACUGCCUUUAGUAGUAUAUGAUAGAUUAUGUUAUUGUUCUCAAGUCCUCUCUGCUUCUGUGUAACAGGAUUAUAUAUCUAUAGCCAUGUGGAUAUGACAUUGCAGCGUCAUCCAGUAGCAUUCUACAAAGUAUGCAUCCCUGCUCCGAUGUCUUCAGGCUGGGUCAUGAUAUGCUUUGGCCAGUGGAACAUUAACAGAUGUGAUGUGAGUGAGGCUUUAAAUGUGCUUGCAGAGUUUGGCCUAGGUUCCUGAGCUUCUGUUAGCUGCCAUGAGGUAGCAGCCAUCUGUUCUGGUAACCAUUGGUCCUAGAGUGAGAGACAUGCAGAGCAGACCUGAACUUGAAGUCGAGUCAACCCAGCAGGUGUGCAGACCCAUGAGUGAGAAAUGAAUGUCUGCUGUUGAGAGUCACUAAGAUUUGGGGGUUAUCUGUUAUGCAAAAGCUUGACUAAUACUGUCGAAUUCAUCCCUUAUUAGUUAUGGUGAGAUUUGUGUAGCCCUCCUAUGCUAAUAAUAUAACAACUGGAAAUCUCAUUAGGUUUUGAAAGAAAUGAUAUGGAUUACCACAGGUAACCUGUAAAUGUAACAUAUUUAUACUGCUUUAUGAGUAUAGUCAUAAGUUUGAGAAAAGUCUAUUUAUCUUUUUCACAGAGCUGUUCUAAAGCCUUGAAAUCACAUUUUCUGUGGAUUUAUUGUCCAAUUGUAUAAAAGACACUUGGUUGCUGUUAAAAUGGAUGAGCUGAACUUCUAUGCUUCUCCAAUCCUCUACUACUCUUGUCUGAUGCAUGGGGUGAAAUGAUUUUCUGUAUGCAUUCUGUUUGUGAUUGCUAAGUCUUGAAAUGCAAAUGUAUUUUUACCUACAAAGUGGGAAUCUUUUGUUGAUAUAAAAUUUUGCUGUAGUAACUAAUCUAAAUCUAUACAAGUUUGGUGUUAUUUCCUAUGGGUAUUUAGAAUCUGAUUAUAUUAGUGAAGGUGUAUAAUUUCCUUAAAGCAAGGUUUCUUAACAGUGGCACUAUUGACAUUUCGGGCUAAUUACUUGCGUGGGGAGCUGUCUGUGCAUUUUGCAAUGUUUAGCAUCCCUGGCCCCUGCAAGUUAGAUGCCAGUAGCACAUCCCCAGACCCUAUUCUCCUUACCCUGUGCGGUCAUGACAAUCAAAAAUGUCUUCAGCCAUUGCCAAAUGUCCUCUGGGAGGCAAAAAUCAUCCCAUUUGAGAAUGACUGCCUUAUGAGGGGAGCUCUAAUGCAGUGGUUUUCAUAACUAGUUACACAUUAUAAUACUGUAGUAAGCCUUUUUUUUUAAAAAAGUCUUAUUUUGAGAUAAUUUCAAAAUUACUGAAAAAUUGCAAUAACAAUACACAGAACUCUCAUGUACCA
rnacentral:lncRNA from 1 species